rnacentral:rRNA from 1 species
CACGUAGGGGGCAAGCGUUGUCCGGAUUUAUUGGGCGUAAAGAGCUCGUAGGCUGUUCGAUAAGUCGGGUGUGAACCUCCAGGCUCAACCUGGAGACGCCACCCGAUACUGUCAUGACUAGAGUCCGGUAGGGGAGCGUGGAAUUCCUGGUGUAGCGGUGAAAUGCGCAGAUAUCAGGAGGAACACCAGCGGCGAAGGCGGCGCUCUGGGCCGGUACUGACGCUGAGGAGCGAAAGCGUGGGUAGCAAACAGG